CAGUGAGUAGAUUGGUAAACCCAGUUGCAGAGUGGCGGGAAAAUAAACGAGCAGUGUGAGCUCUUCAGCCAAAACACAGUUUUCAUCUAAAUAAACUCACUAAUACCCUGAUUUUAUGAUAGGUGGGAGACAUUGUCCCGUGGUGCGACUGCCCUGUGAUGCUGGGUCGCUGCUGAUGACGUGCAAUUUUUUCAUAAGGAUCCAAUAUGGUCAUUGCAGAGUUCAUCGGUCGGCUCUGAACACACUUAUCCAGAGACGAGUGCAGAAGGGGCAGGAGGUCCUGGUCAGUUGUGUCAGUUCAGGGCUGCUCCUCAG